GAAGUCUCAGGGAACCAGGAAAUUUUUGAUUUACUUUUGUACCCACAUGCACCUGAGCAGACACACAGUAUUCCUGAAAUAGACACACAGCGGAGCCUAUGAUUCCUGAAAUAACAGUUCUGGUCACUGAGCAUCUAAAUCCUAGAUCAAGAACCUGCCUUGAACAAAUAUAGUUUUGGAUGUGUGUAAAGAACAGUGGGGACAAUAAGGCUUGCCUCUCCUAAAAGACCUCAGACCUGCUCAUGAUCCAGCCACUGUCCAGCUCUGGAGGAGCCAGCCCAGACUAGAGUCAAUGUCAGUUUUGUCCAGUGCUCUUCAGCUUGUUCACAGGUUUAAAUACGCUUCAGCAGCUACCGAGCAGCGUUUUUAAAAAGCAGAAAGGAAACUUGAUAAUUAAAGAUUCAUAAAACAAUCUAGGAAAUCAACAUGGAAAGACCAUCAGUGGUUCUGAAAACUGAACACCAUGUAUAAAUGUAAGUGAAUUUUGUGAUUAUUUUA
rnacentral:lncRNA from 1 species